AUGAUUUACCUGAAUGAGGAACCAUAUGAAAAUAAUGGUGAUCCUACAUACUGUACACAACAUGCUGUUGGAGAUGCAGAAUUUGUGGCGGAAUCACCUAAUCCUCCUAUCAUGCAAAAAGAUGGUGUUGCUGCUGCAGAAGCAAUGGAGACAGAUGCGCACUCAAGUUGUGGGAGAGGGGCUCCAAGCAAUACACAAGUACCUGUAGCAGUAGCAACUGAGAGUGAUGCUCAUACCCUUGAUGGCACAGGUGCUGCAGGUGAUACUGGUGGGACUAUUGGUAAUGGUUUGGGUGCUGAAAAUGAUGAUGAAGCUUGGUCGCAGCCCAAGGAGCGUUAUGUGGGCAUCAGGUUUGAUACUUUCGAAGAUGCCAAGGAGCACUACAAUGCAUAUUCCUUGCAGAUGGGUUUUUUGGUCAAAAUGAAUACUUCAAGGAAGGAUAUGAAAACUGGGGAUUUGAUAAAACAACAAUUUGUUUGCAACAAGUUUCAAAAGCCUGAUGUCGAUGACAAAGGGGCAGAAAAGAUUCCUGUGCUAGAUGACAUUGUUGAGCAAACAAAAGGUGAUGAAGAUGAGGAUAUUAUCUUUGUUGAUGAUGAUAGUAAAGCCAAAAAGAGGAGCAAGAAAUGAAAAAGAGAUAAAAUUGUGCAAACUGGUUGUAAAGCUAAGAUGGUUGUGAAGCUAAUAGAUGGAAGAUGGGAGGUCAUCUACUUUGUUGGCGAGCACAACCAUCCGUUGGUUGACAAACCAUGUUUCACUAAAUAUUUGCGAUCACACCAAGGGAUCCCACUAGAAGAAGGGGCCUUCCUUACUCAUCUUCAUAACUUCAAUUUGACUACAGGUUUUAAACCACACCCCCUCCCCACCCCUACCUUCUAA
rnacentral:rRNA from 1 species